rnacentral:tRNA from 1 species
GCCCCCUUAGCUCAAUUGGCAGAGCAACUGACUCUUAAUCAGUAGGUUCAAGGUUCGAGUCCUUGAGGGGGCACUA